UGAAAUUAAAAUCCAACAACAACAACAUCUUCCAAAAAUAACACCAGUGAGUUUGAGAGGCAAACAGAGCAAUAACAACAAAAUGCUGCCAUAUGGUUUUCCUAAUUUCUUCCUAAAACAAACCUAACUCGAAGAGCAAAAAUGAGUAAAGGGCGAAAAUACCUUGAAAUUUAAAGAUUACAAAUCGAAGCCUUUCAAAUACUCCGGGUCACGCUUAGCCCUCUCCUGAAACUUCUUAAACCAUCGGUCCAAAAUAUCCAUAGGCACAAUCAACUUGCUCCCAUCAACUCCACAAAACGACUGCAUAUAAUUGAACAAAUUCUCCCCAACUUUCAUAGCAAGCCGUUCGAUCCUUUUCUCGGCGGCUAUAUCCAACGACGGCAGUGACGCCAAGUCCUCGACCGAAACCCCUAUUUUAGCAGACAGCGGGGCAGAAUCCGGCGCCGUAAGCUGCAAUUGUCCACCGGGCUCAGGCCAAUUGAGGGAGAGGACGGCGGAGGGACGUGAUAGAGUGAUGGCGCCACAGAAUUGGAAAGGUGAACCAGGAGACUGAAUGUAGACGGCUAGGGC
rnacentral:misc_RNA from 1 species